GACGAACGCUGGCGGCGUGCCUAAUACAUGCAAGUUGAGCGCUGAAGCUUGGUACUUGUACCAACUGGAUGAGCAGCGAACGGGUGAGUAACGCGUGGGGAAUCUGCCUUUGAGCGGGGGACAACAUUUGGAAACGAAUGCUAAUACCGCAUAAAAACUUUAAACACAAGUUUUAAGUUUGAAAGAUGCAAUUGCAUCACUUAAAGAUGAUCCCGCGUUGUAUUAGCUAGUUGGUGAGGUAAAGGCCCAACAAGGCGAUGGUACAUAGCCGACCUGAGAGGGUGAUUGGCCACAUUGGGACUGAGACACGGCCCAAACUCCUACGGGAGGCAGCAGUAGGGAAUCUUCGGCAAUAGACGAAAGUCUGACCGAGCAACGCCGCGUGAGUGAAGAAGGUUUUCGGAUCGUAAAACUCUGUUGGUAGAGAAGAACGUUGGUGAGAGUGGAAAGCUCAUCAAGUGACGGUAACUACCCAGAAAGGGACGGCUAACUACGUG
rnacentral:rRNA from 1 species